AUGCACCGCGGGUAUCUCGUCCUCACUGCCUUCCUGGGGCAACUGCUGGAAACCAUGGGGCAGGUGUCCGUCACCCAGCAAGAAGGACAAGUCACCGUGGAGCAGGGAAACACCUUCCAGACCAAUUGCACAUACCAGAGCUCCAACUUCUUUAGUGCGUUGUUCUGGUACCAGCAGAAGAAGGGACAAGCCCCUCAGCUGAUUUCUUCUCAAGCAGGAAAGGGCACCAAGCAGAAGGACCGUUUCACCACGGAGCUGAACACUGAUGGGAAACACAGUGUUCUGCGGCUGAAGGAAGUUGAGCUCUCUGACAGCGCCUUGUACCUCUGUGCUGUGAGUGACACCUUGGUGCAGGGAGCUGCCCUGGCUGAGCAACAACCCCGGAUGGGGAGGGGAUGUGUCUGUGCAAGGCAGAGCUCUGGGAUGAGGCCCUCAGCUCUCCCCUGGCUGCGCUGCUUCCCCUGUGCACUCCCAGAUCUGACAGCCAGAUCCUCUUUCCCAAAGGGGCUGGUGUCUGUGGCUGUGCAGAGAGGGCUGACCCUGGCUGGCUGA